rnacentral:rRNA from 1 species
AGUGAACGCUGGCGGCAGGCCUAACACAUGCAAGUCGAACGGCAGCACAGUAAGAGCUUGCUCGUACGGGUGGCGAGUGGCGGACGGGUGAGGAAUACAUCGGAAUCUACUUUUUCGUGGGGGAUAACGUAGGGAAACUUACGCUAAUACCGCAUACGACCUACGGGUGAAAGCAGCGGAUCUUCGGACCUUGCGCGAUUGAAUGAGCCGAUGUCGGAUUAGCUAGUUGGCGGGGUAAAGGCCCACCAAGGCGACGAUCCGUAGCUGGUCUGAGAGGAUGAUCAGCCACACUGGAACUGAGACACGGUCCAGACUCCUGCGGGAGGCAGCAGUGGGGAAUAUUGGACAAUGGGCGCAAGCCUGAUCCAGCCAUACCGCGUGGGUGAAGAAGGCCUUCGGGUUGUAAAGCCCUUUUGUUGGGAAAGAAAAGCAGCAGGUUAAUACCCCGCUGUUCUGACGGUACCCAAAGAAUAAGCACCGGCUAACUUCGUG